UUUGCAGAGGAUGCUUUGGAAUAUGUUUCGGCAAAAGUCCAUUGGAACAUGGCGACCUGGAAGGUGAAAUUCCUGUAUUCGUCGACUACAUAAACCUUAUAAAGCUCCUUCGAAGAGUCGAGUUGUUUGGGAAUGCAGCUCUAAGUGGGAGGUAAAUUUCUUCCAAAGCUAAAUACCGGCUAGAGACCGAUAGCGCACAAGUAGAGUGAUCGAAAGAUGAAAAGCACUUUGAAAAGAGAGUUAAAUAGCAUGUGAAAUUGUUGAAAGGGAAGCGCAUACAGCCAGAUAUGAUAAUAUUGUUCAGCCUUAUGGUGUACUCUUUAUUAUCCGGUCAACAUCAAUUUAGAUGGUUGGAUAAAAGUUUCGUAAAUGUAGCUCUUCGGAGUGUUAUAGUUCGAUUCAAAAUACGACCAAUCUAGAUUGAGGUCUGCU
rnacentral:rRNA from 1 species